GACGAACGCUGGCGGCGUGCUUAACACAUGCAAGUCGAACGGAAAGGCCCUGCUUUUGUGGGGUGCUCGAGUGGCGAACGGGUGAGUAACACGUGAGUAACCUGCCCUUGACUUUGGGAUAACUUCAGGAAACUGGGGCUAAUACCGGAUAGGAGCUCCUGCUGCAUGGUGGGGGUUGGAAAGUUUCGGCGGUUGGGGAUGGACUCGCGGCUUAUCAGCUUGUUGGUGGGGUAGUGGCUUACCAAGGCUUUGACGGGUAGCCGGCCUGAGAGGGUGACCGGCCAAAUUGGGACUGCGAUACGGCCCAGACUCCUACGGGAGGCAGCAGUGGGGAAUAUUGCACAAUGGGCGGAAGCCUGAUGCAGCAACGCCGCGUGCGGGAUGACGGCCUUCGGGUUGUAAACCGCUUUCGCCUGUGACGAAGCGUGAGUGACGGUAAUGGGUAAAGAAGCACCGGCUAACUACGUG
rnacentral:rRNA from 1 species